GACGGGUAUCCGGCCUGAGAGGGUGAACGGACACACUGGAACUGAGACACGGUCCAGACUCCUACGGGWGGCAGCAGUAGGGAAUAUUGCUCAAUGGGGGAAACCCUGAAGCAGCAACGCCGCGUGGAGGAUGAAGGUUUUAGGAUUGUAAACUCCUUUUGUUAGAGAAGAUUAUGACGGUAUCUAACGAAUAAGCACCGGCUAACUCCGUGCCAGCAGCCGCGGUAAUACGGAGGGUGCAAGCGUUACUCGGAAUCACUGGGCGUAAAGAGUGCGCAGGCGGGAUAGCAAGUCAGAUGUGAAAUGCUAUGGCUUAACCAUAGAACUGCGUUUGAAACUGUUAUUCUG
rnacentral:rRNA from 1 species